UUGUUUUAUCUGUUCAUAAUGCAUUUUUCGAAAUAAAGUUGUUUUACGGUGUGUAUCUUGGUUUAGUUAAUUUUAAUUGUUCUGAUUAUCUGUGAAUUGUUACGCGUGAUAUUUUCGUAUCUUGAUAAAUUUGUUUAAUAAACUGAUUUAAUCGAAUAAUGCGCGCCAGAAUGUUCAAAAAUUAUUCUUUUCAGAAUUUAUGUUAGUAUUUAUCCAUCAUGAUGAUGGUUUCAAAUAAGAUGCGAAUGUGCAUGUGAAAAUAUGUGUUUAGAGCUUACUUGAAGUUGCAAUGUUAAAUUAAUAGUCCUUUGCAAGUUACACAUUUUUUUUCUGCGCGUUUAUAUAAUAAAGAGUUCAUAUAUUCUUAAAAAUAAGUCCGUCUUUUCAAAUUCUUGUCCUAAUUCUUGGCAGUGCACUUAAGGAGUGUGUUUGCUGUAAAUAUGGACGUAAAUCUAUAUGUAGGCUUUAUGUGGAAGACUGGCUGUGCAAGAAGAACUGCUUGUCCAUAAAGAAACCUAUGGAUAUGAUACUUUGUAUUUAGCUUGAAAUUCUUGUCCUAAUUCUUGGCAGUGCACUUAAGUAGUGUAUUUGCUGUAAACAUGGACGUAAAUCAAUAUGUGGGCAUAAGAUGGAUGUGCAAGGAGCGGCAUAUCCAUAAAGAAACCUAUGGUCUAUGGAUAUGAUACUUGGUAUUUUUAUCUUGAAAUUCUUGUCCUAAUUCUUGGCAUUGCACUUAAGGAGUGUGGUUGCUGUAAACAUGGACAUAAAUCAAUAUGUGGGCUUUAGGUGGAUGACUGGAUGUGCAAAGAAGAACUGCAUGUCUUUAAAGAAACCUAUGGAUAUGAUACUUGGUGUUUUUAGCUUGAAAUUCUUGUCCUAAUUCGAGGCAGUACACUUAAGUAGUUUGUUUGCUGUAAACAUGGACAUAAAUCAAUAUGUGGGGUUAAGAUGGAUGUGCACGGAGCAGCAUGUCUAUAAAGAAACGUUUGGAUAUGAUAUGGUAUUUUAGCUUGAAAUUGUUGACCUAAGCAGACACUAAAAAAAAUGCUAAUAAGUGACAGAAUUAGUGACAGCUGCCGUUAGCUCUUCUACUAGUGACAUAUGAAGGACGGAAAAUCCUCAGUCACUAAUUAGUAACAGAUUAUUCCGUCACUAAUACAAACUUACCAUGGUGGCUGCAUAUGUUUUCCAUCAUUGGGUGGGUUAGUAACUUUAGUGACAGAAAAUUCCAUCACUAACGUUUUUUACUGAAAAGUUUUGUAUUGACGGAUCUGCCGAUACUUCAUCUGUCUCUAAUCCUGUUUAGUGAACAAAUUUUGCUAAUUAGUGACGUAAUUAUCAGUCACUAAAUUGCGAGUUUUUUGUAGUGAAAGUAAUGAACAAAACAGAUAUUAAAUAAAUAGGAACUGUAUAAACCAAAGUCGUUACUAACACAUCCUUAGAAUUCUAUGAGUUUAGUUACAUAUGAUUGAAUAAACUAAAAACAUAGAUUGUAGGGAAAACAUAGAAAAUAUAAGAACUAAAACAAUAGAACCCAAAGGUUGAUUCUUGUAGUCUUGAUCUUCUCUUGAAUCCACACCUUGGAUCUUGUUGAACGGUGGAAGGAACUCUCAAAUAUUAUGUUUUGAAAAUUAUUUAGCAAAAGGUUCCUUUGGUGAAAGUAUGGUAAGUCUUGGAGAGAAAAUAGGGCAAAUCUGUGCGCCGCAUUUUCCCAGCAGGCCACUGCACUUUGUUCAACGGUCGCUGCAAAUCAUCCCGAUCUCAUAGCUUCUGUCUCUCGAUUAGCGAAUGCUGGCAAUCACUCCAAUCUUUGAAGCUACCUCUGUUCAGGAGGUUUAUUACGGAAUUCAUUGAUGAAAAAGACAAGGAGAAUUGGCAGAUUGUGAAGCUACAUGCUAAUUCUGACCAUGCGCUUUUAUUUCAAGCAGAUGUCCUACUUGUGAAGGGAGAGAAAAACGCUGAUAAAAUUUGGAAAAUUUUACAGCAAUUCACCUCGAUUGCCUCAGACUCAAAUCAUUAGUGAUGAGACAUGGAAGUUAAUAGAUGGAAUUUGGGAUGAAAGGGUUGAGGAAAUAAGGAAUGAAGCCUCUAUAGAAAUCGAAGAAGAGAAAGAGAGACCAGGGCUUUUGAUGGCCAGCCACUUCCUAUAAGACUAAAAUUCUAUUUUGUCAGGAGAUAUCUUUGGUGAAGAAGAUGGUCGAUCCUGCUUGAUAUGUUUGAUUGAGUUUAGAUUUAGGGAAUUUUGGAAAAUACAGCUUAGAUGAGAAAAGUAAAAUUAUGUGAUGCAGAGUUUAACAUGAUCCAACAUGAAUAUGAAAAGAAAUCAUUGUCAAA